rnacentral:lncRNA from 10 species
GGAAAUGCAGAAAUCACCCGUCUUCUGCGUCGCUCACGCUGGGAGCUGUAGACCGGAGCUGUUCCUAUUCGGCCAUCUUGGCUCCUCCUUAUUUGGCCUUUUCAAGGCUCAACUUGGAGAGAGUGUUGCCAUUCAUUCAUUCAUCUAUCCCAUGGAAGGGCAAAAGAAUACUCUGAGCAUGAAUGCCACUGAAAUAUUAAGGAGAGCUUUUGAAUACAUUAAGCUCAUUUAAGACCCUACUUCUACAACAAGACUGAAAGAAGCCAAUAAAGAGGGUUUGGCCAGUAAGUCUGCGACCCAAAUAAAUCUUUGUUAUGGGGCCACACAUUCCUUUCCAUGAAUUGUUUCUCCAAGGAGAUUUUACAUGAAAGUGAGGGCAAACCUCACCUCCUACCACUCCUUCCUACCCCCACCCCAAUGCCAGGCACACUUAUCUAUUCAUUAAGGAAGGAUCAGCUCUGUCAUAUGCUCACUGAGCAUUUAGUAUGCAUCAAGCGUCAUGUAGGUCUAGGUGUGUAUGAGUAAA